AUUGAACGCUGGCGGAAUGCUUUACACAUGUAAGUCGAACGGUAGAGGGGGCAACCCCUCGAGAGUGGCGAACGGGUGAGUAAUAUAUCGGAACGUGCCCAGUCGUGGGGGAUAACGUAGCGAAAGUUACGCUAAUACCGCAUACGAUCUAAGGAUGAAAGCGGGGGAUCGCAAGACCUCGCGCGAUUGGAGCGGCCGGUAUCAGAUUAGGUAGUUGGUGGGGUAAAGGCUCACCAAGCCAACGAUCUGUAGCUGGUCUGAGAGGACGACCAGCCACACUGGAACUGAGACACGGUCCAGACUCCUACGGGAGGCAGCAGUGGGGAAUUUUGGACAAUGGACGCAAGUCUGAUCCAGCCAUUCCGCGUGCAGGAUGAAGGCCCUCGGGUUGUAAACUGCUUUUGUACGGAACGAAAAGGUCUCUCUUAAUACGGGGGGCUCAUGACGGUACCGUAAGAAUAAGCACCGGCUAACUACGUGCCAGCCGCCGCAGUAA
rnacentral:rRNA from 1 species